CCUACGGGUGGCUGCAGUGGGGAAUAUUGGACAAUGGGGGGAACCCUGAUCCAGCCAUGCCGCGUGUGUGAAGAAGGCCCUCGGGUUGUAAAGCACUUUCAGUGAGGAAGAACGCCUGGUGGUUAAUACCCAUCAGGAAAGACAUCACUCACAGAAGAAGCACCGGCUAACUCCGUGCCAACAGCCGCGGUAAUACGGAGGGUGCGAGCGUUAAUCGGAAUUACUGGGCGUAAAGCGCGCGUAGGUGGCUUGAUAAGCCGGUUGUGAAAGCCCCGGGCUCAACCUGGGAACGGCAUCCGGAACUGUCAAGCUAGAGUGCAGGAGAGGAAGGUAGAAUUCCCGGUGUAGCGGUGAAAUGCGUAGAGAUCGGGAGGAAUACCAGUGGCGAAGGCGGCCUUCUGGACUGACACUGACACUGAGGUGCGAAAGCGUGGGUAGCAAACAGGAUUAGAUACCCGAGUAGUC
rnacentral:rRNA from 1 species